rnacentral:rRNA from 1 species
UACGGAGGGUGCGAGCGUUAUCCGGAUUCACUGGGUUUAAAGGGCGCGUAGGCGGUCAGCACAAGUCAGUUGUGAAAUCUCCGGGCUUAACUCGGAAAGGUCAACUGAUACUGUGCGACUAGAGUGCAGAAGGGGCAACUGGAAUUCUCGGUGUAGCGGUGAAAUGCGUAGAUAUCGAGAGGAACACCUGCGGCGAAGGCGGGUUGCUGGGCUGACACUGACGCUGAUGCGCGAAAGCCAGGGGAGCGAACGGG